rnacentral:rRNA from 1 species
AACGAACGCUGGCGGCAUGCCUAACACAUGCAAGUCGAACGAGACCUUCGGGUCUAGUGGCGCACGGGUGCGUAACGCGUGGGAACCUGCCCUUAGGUUCGGAAUAACUCCCCGAAAGGGGUGCUAAUACCGGAUAAUGUCUUCGGACCAAAGAUUUAUCGCCUUUGGAUGGGCCCGCGUUGGAUUAGCUAGUUGGUAGGGUAAAAGCCUACCAAGGCGACGAUCCAUAGCUGGUCUGAGAGGAUGAUCAGCCACACUGGGACUGAGACACGGCCCAGACUCCUACGGGAGGCAGCAGUGGGGAAUAUUGGACAAGGGGCGAAAGCCUGAUCCAGCAAUGCCGCGGGAGUGAUGAAGGCCUUAGGGUUGUAAAGCUCUUUUACCCGGGAUGAUAAUGACAGGACCGGGAGAAUAAGCUCCGGCUAACUCCGU